rnacentral:rRNA from 1 species
AUUAGAAACCCCUGUAGUCCGGCUGACUGACUCUUACACCAAGUAUCUCGUAUGCCGUCUUCUGCUUGAGAAAAAUACCCGGGCUUAACUUGGGGGGUGCAUCCAAUACUGGUUGGCUAGAGUGCAGGAGAGGGAAGCGGAAUUCCUAGUGUAGCGGUGAAAUACGUAGAUAUUAGGAGGAACACCAUUGGCAAGAGCGGGCGACUAGACAGUACUUCACUAUGAUACACGAGAGCCAGCCGCCCAAACAA